AUUAAAUAUCAAUAAAAACAAUUAAAGAAAUUAAGAAAAUAAAUCUUUACUAACUUUUUUCCAGCACUGAGACCCCCUCGGCGCUGCUCACCUCUGUCUCCAAUGUCAUGGAGAAGGCAUGGCCUGCUUUCUGAUGGUCUAAUCCAAUGUUCUUCAUAGAGGAGCAUUGGGGACCAGAUGUGCAUGCACAGAGGGCACCACAUGCACAUUCAAACUUCCCCAUAAGAAAGCAUUGGAUUCAAUGCUUUCCUAUGGGCUUUUAGGUCACUUGACAGAGUUUUACCAGAAAUGGAUUUAACAUUGCGAUUUUUACCUGCAGUGAUGGCUGUCAGCAAAAAAAAACCAGGAUGGUAUCAGACCUGAAUUAGACUUUUAUAAAGUCAUGUGAAAUGGACAAUGGCAAAAUACAUUGGAAAUUUAGGACAAAGUUUAAGCUAACAGAGUCUCUCAAAAAGGUUGGAUGAUAAAAGGUAGUGCUACAGCAAUGGACACCAAAAACUAUGUUGUGGAAUUUCUAAAUUGGAGAAUGGGCAACA